CGCGCAGGCGGACUUUUAAGUCGGAGGUGAAAGCCCAGGGCUCAACCCUGGAAUUGCCUCCGAUACUGGGAGUCUUGAGUUCGGAAGAGGUUGGUGGAACUGCGAGUGUAGAGGUGAAAUUCGUAGAUAUUCGCAAGAACACCGGUGGCGAAGGCGGCCAACUGGUCCGAAACUGACGCUGAGGCGCGAAAGCGUGGGGAGCAAACA
rnacentral:rRNA from 1 species